rnacentral:rRNA from 1 species
UACAGAGGGCGCGAGCGUUGUUCGGAAUUACUGGGCGUAAAGCGCGCGUAGGCGGCCUUCUAAGUCGAACGUGAAAUCCCCCGGGCUCAACCCGGGAACUGCGUCCGAUACUGGAAGGCUUGAAUCCGGGAGAGGGAUGCGGAAUUCCAGGUGUAGCGGUGAAAUGCGUAGAUAUCUGGAGGAACACCGGUGGCGAAGGCGGCAUCCUGGACCGGUAUUGACGCUGAGGCGCGAAAGCCAGGGGAGCAAAGCGGGG